GCAGGAAUACUACAGAGAUGUGGUAGCUAGCAAUAGUCUGUAUCGAGGUGCUGCAUGGUUGUCGUCAGCUCGUGCCGUGAGGUGUCGGCUUAAGUGCCAUAACGAGCGCAACCCUUGUCGUUAGUUGCCAUCAGGUCAAGCUGGGAACUCUAACGAGACUGCCACCGUAAGGUGUGAGGAAGGGGGGGAUGACGUCAAAUCAGCACGGCCCUUACGUCCGGGGCGACACACGUGUUACAAUGGCAGGUACAGAGGGGAGCUACCCAGCGAUGGGGUGCGAAUCUCGAAAGCCUGUCUCAGUUCGGAUUGGAGUCUGCAACUCGACUCCAUGAAGUUGGAUUCGCUAGUAAUCGCGCAUCAGCCAUGGCGCGGUGAAUACGUUCCCGGGCCUUGUACACACCGCCCGUCAAGCCAUGGAAGCCGGGGGUGCCUGAAGUUCGUGACCGCAAGGAGCGACC
rnacentral:rRNA from 1 species